rnacentral:rRNA from 1 species
CCUACGGGUGGCAGCAGUGAGGAAUAUUGGUCAAUGGGCGAGAGCCUGAACCAGCCAAGUCGCGUGAAGGAUGAAGGAUCUAGGGUUUGUAAACUUCUUUUAUAUGGGCAUAAAGUGAGGAACGUGUUCCUUUUUGUGUGUACCAUAUGUAUGAGCAUCGGCUAACUCCGUGCCAGCAGCCGCGGUAAUACGGAGGAUGCGAGCGUUGUCCGGAUUUAUUGGGUUUAAAGGGUGCGUAGGUGGUUAAGUAAGUCAGAGGUGAAAGUUUGUGGCUCAACCAUUACAUUGCCGUUGAAACUGGUUGACUUGAGUAUAUGUGAGGUAGGCGGAAUGCGUGGUGUAGCGGUGAAAUGCGGAGAUAUCACGAAGAACUCCGAUUGCGAAGGCAGCUUACUGGACUGUAACUGACACUGAGGCACGAAAGCGUGGGGAGCAAACAGGAUUAGAUACCCCGGUAGUC